ACCAAUUCUAGCCCUAACAUCAAUCUACAUAACCAUUUAACUACAUAAAACAAAACAUUUACCUCUAUAAAGUAUUGGAGAAAGAAAUUUACAUUUAGGAGCUAUAGAGCAAGUACCGUAAGGGAAAGAUGAAAGAUCAAUUUAUAGUACAAACAAGCAAAGAUUAAACCUUGUACCUUUUGCAUAAUGAAUUAACUAGAAACUUUCUGACUAAAAGAAUUUAAGCCAGGAACCCCGAAACCAAACGAGCUACCUAAAAACAAUUUUAUGAAUCAACCCGUCUAUGUAGCAAAAUAGUGGGAAGAUUUUUAGGUAGAGGUGAAAAGCCUAACGAGCUUGGUGAUAGCUGGUAACCCAAAAAAUGAAUUUUAGUUCAACUUUAAGUUUACUAACAGAACAAAAAAAUCUAUACGUAAACUUAAAUUAUAGCCAAAAGAGGGACAGCUCUUUAGGAAUGGAAAAACCUUUAAUAGUGAAUAAAUCAAUGUAAUAGUAACCAUUGUUGGCCUAAAAGCAGCCAUCAAUAAAGAAAGCGUUCAAGCUCAACAUAAUUAAUAAAAUUAAUUCCUAAACUACUAUAACUUCCUAAACUACAAACUGGGUUAUUCUAUUACUCUAUAGAAGAAACAUUGUUAAUAUGAGUAACAAGAACUAAUUCUCCAAGCACAAGUGUAUAACAACCCGGAUAACCAUUGUUAGUUACCAGACUAUAGAUAUUAAACCUCAAAUAAAUUUAUCUAAAAUUAACCUGUUAACCCAACACAGGAGUGCAUAAAGGAAAGAUAAACCAAAAUAAAAGGAACUCGGCAAACUAGAACCCCGCCUGUUUACCAAAAACAUCACCUCUAGCAUUUCAAGUAUUAGAGGCAUUGCCUGCCCAGUGACUAUAGUUUAACGGCCGCGGUAUCCUGACCGUGCAAAGGUAGCAUAAUCAUUUGUUCCUUAAUUAGGGACUAGUAUGAAUGGCUAGACGAGGGUUCAGCUGUCUCUUAUUUUUAAUCAGUGAAAUUGACCUCCCAGUGAAGAGGCUGGGAUAUAAUAAUAAGACGAGAAGACCCUAUGGAGCUUAAAUUAAUUAGCUUAACUACUGUUUUAAUACCCUAUAUGGCAUAAAAACAAAAAAAAAUCAUAAGCUUAAAAUUUUGGUUGGGGUGACCUCGGAGAAUAAAAGAUCCUCCGAAUGAUAAUUAACUUAGACCUACAAGUCAAAGUAGCCUAACUAUCUUAUUGACCCAAAAAAAUUGAUCAACGGACCAAGUUACCCUAGGGAUAACAGCGCAAUCCUAUUUAAGAGUUCAUAUCGACAAUAGGGUUUACGACCUCGAUGUUGGAUCAGGACAUCCCAAUGGUGCAGAAGCUAUUAAUGGUUCGUUUGUUCAACGAUUAAAGUCCUACGUGAUCUGAGUUCAGACCGGAGAAAUCCAGGUCGGUUUCUAUCUAUUAACAAUUUCUCCCAGUACGAAAGGAUAAGAGAAAUAGAGCCACCUUAACAAAAGUGCUCUAAACUAAAUUUAUGAAAAUAAUCUAAAUAAAAUAAAUCUGUUAAUUUAAGCACCUAGACAAGGUC
rnacentral:rRNA from 1 species